UCGUGUUUCGAAAAGCGUUGAGUGUGUAUUUUCUACUCUGAAUUGAAGUAAUCAACAUCUCGCACGUUAUUCAACACUUUACAUGAAUUUUUCAGUACUUUUUCAUUAAAUCAUAUCUUAAGCAGUAUAAUAAUUUGUGUGUGCAAAUGUGUCAUUUGUGAUUGCUUAAAAGUUUCCAAAUUGCAAUUCCGUCGAAAAAAUCAAAGUGAAAAAUAUUAUUCAGUGCAAUCAUUUAUAUAAUUGAAAACAAACAAACAAACAAAAAAAAAAUAUUGUGCAAAGCUGUACUGAAAACCGAGUGGAAAAUCAACCAUACGCGAACAGCAAUAAU